UGGAAUAGAAAUGUGCUGAGCUUUUGUGUGGAUGAGCUUUGAGAAUAAACCACAGGCUUAUGCAGAGACCCAGAAACACGUCUUCUCUCCAAGAGGGAGGAUAUUCCCUGUGCCCAUGUCAGGGUUUCUGACUGGGAGGGGAGAUUUAAACCGAACUAAUUCUGAGAGGAUUAUCUGAGUAAGUCAUAAAAACACAGUAAAAGGCUUUCUCUGUUUCACGAGAUGGGGCAAUAGAACAGAAGCUAGCCUUUGCCUGCUGCAAAGAUUGGAAUAUUUCAGUCUUUCUGAAAGUUUAAAUA